rnacentral:rRNA from 1 species
UACAGAGGUCUCAAGCGUUGUUCGGAUUCAUUGGGCGUAAAGGGUGCGUAGGCGGCGUGGUAAGUCGGGUGUGAAAUCUCGGAGCUUAACUCCGAAACUGCAUUCGAUACUGCCGUGCUUGAGGACUGGAGAGGAGACUGGAAUUUACGGUGUAGCGGUGAAAUGCGUAGAUAUCGUAAGGAAGACCAGUGGCGAAGGCGGGUCUCUGGACAGUUCCUGACGCUGAGGCACGAAGGCCAGGGGAGCAAACGUG